rnacentral:lncRNA from 1 species
GACAGACAGACACACACACACAGACACAACACCCUUCUCAACACCCCAACAGAAACAUGAAAAUGUUGGCUGACAACAGAAAGUACAGAAAGUGUAUCCAGCCCUUCUUCCUCCUUGCUGCCUGUAAGGUAGCUGCCAUUUCCUCUGUGGAGUCAUGGCUAUCCUCUAACCUCUGGUACAGAACAAGAUCAUUAAAAAAAAAAACAAAAAACAAAAAACAAAACCCAAAAAACAAACAAACAAAAACCCCAAAACAAACAAACAACAAAUUAAAAAAACAGAAACAGAAAAACAAAAACCCAACCCACAAAACUUUAUGUGGCACUAGCUUGGAUGUGUCACUGGGGAUGUACUUUGAGUUUCAGCGAGCCCAAGCUGUUCCCAGUGAGGCGACUGUCUUGUGCUUACAGAUGGAGAUGUGAGCUCUCAGCCACUGCUCCGGAGCACCACACCUGCAUUUCUGCUCCCAUGCUCCCUACCAUGGUGGCCAUGGAUUCUAACCUGCAACCACGAGCUCCAAAUCCAACAUCUUGUCUUAUAAAUGCCCUGGUCACACACAGUCCUUGACUGCAGCACUGGACAGGUAACUAAGGCACUGGCCGUGAUGUCAGAGCUGACUGGGCUGCUGCAGAGCAGCAGAUCCUCCUGGCCCAUCCCCUGCUUCUUCCUAGAACUGCACUGCCCUAGGAGAAAGAGCAGUGCAGCUGGCCAUUAAUGCCACUGACCCCAACACCAGGCUGCGCCACAGUGAAAGGGAGAGACGGGGCAGGCAUGUUUUAUUCUUUUUAGUAAAACCACAAAAACUGCAAAAGGAAAAGGAGCCAGUACUAAAUUUCAGUCUCCAAGACAAGUGUUCACUAGAAAGUCCUAGCACUUCAAGAAUGCCAAGGCAGAAACGAGGUGGGCACAAGAUAAGUCUCAACUAUUCCAGAAAUGAGAAAAUGCUAGGAGAAUAAAAGGAAACAUGGUGGGGCAUGCUUCUAAUGCCAGCACUCAGGGGGCACAAGCAGGUGGAUCUCUGAGUUGAAGGGCAGCCUGGUCUACAGAUGG